AAAGAUUUCUGUUGCCUUCCUGACUGACUCUUAAGGCCUUUUCUGGUUUGGGGAAAAACCCUUCCUCUCUAAGUAGGCAAACGGAAGACAGUCCUCCUCUCCUCGAUAGCCUCCUUUUGACGAGGAAUCACACGUGUAUCCUUCCACAGAAGACAGUCCUCCUCGAUAGCCUCCUUUUGGCGAGGAAUCACACGUGUAUCCUUCCACAGAAGACAGUCCUCCUCUCCUCGAUAGCCUCCUCUUGGCGAGGAAUCACACGUGUAUCCUUCCACAGAAGACAGUCCUCCCCUCCUCGAUAGCCUCCUUUUGGCGAGGAAUCACACGUGUAUCCUUCCACAGAAGACAGUCCUCCCCUCCUCGAUAGCCUCCUCUUGGCGAGGAAUCACACGUGUAUCCUUCCACAGAAGACAGUCCUCCCCUCCUCGAUAGCCUCCUCUUGGCGAGGAAUCACACGUGUAUCCUUCCACAGAAGACAGUCCUCCCCUCCUCGAUAGCCUCCUUUUGACGAGGAAUCACACGUGUAUCCUUCCACAGAAGACAGUCCUCCCCUCCUCGAUAGCCUCCUCUUGGCGAGGAAUCACACGUGUAUCCUUCCACAGAAGACAGUCCUCCCCUCCUCGAUAGCCUCCUCUUGGCGAGGAAUCACACGUGUAUCCUUCCACAGAAGACAGUCCUCCCCUCCUCGAUAGCCUCCUUUUGACGAGGAAUCACACGUGUAUCCUUCCACAGAAGACAGUCCUCCUCGAUAGCCUCCUUUUGGCGAGGAAUCACACGUGUAUCCUUCCACAGAAGACAGUCCUCCUCUCCUCGAUAGCCUCCUCUUGGCGAGGAAUCACACGUGUAUCCUUCCACAGAAGACAGUCCUCCCCUCCUCGAUAGCCUCCUUUUGGCGAGGAAUCACACGUGUAUCCUUCCACAGAAGACAGUCCUCCCCUCCUCGAUAGCCUCCUCUUGGCGAGGAAUCACACGUGUAUCCUUCCACAGAAGACAGUCCUCCCCUCCUCGAUAGCCUCCUCUUGGCGAGGAAUCACACGUGUAUCCUUCCACAGAAGACAGUCCUCCCCUCCUCGAUAGCCUCCUUUUGACGAGGAAUCACACGUGUAUCCUUCCACAGAAGACAGUCCUCCCCUCCUCGAUAGCCUCCUCUUGGCGAGGAAUCACACGUGUAUCCUUCCACAGAAGACAGUCCUCCUCUCCUCGAUAGCUUCCUCUUGGUGAGGAAUCACACGUGUAUCCUUCCACAGAAGACAAUCCUCCCCUCCUCGAUAGCCUCCUUUUGACGAGGAAUCACACGUGUAUCCUUCCACAGAAGACAGUCCUCCUCUCCUCGAUAGCCUCCUUUUGACGAGGAAUCACACGUGUAUCCUUCCACAGAAGACAGUCCUCCCCUCCUCGAUAGCCUCCUUUUGACGAGGAAUCACACGUGUAUCCUUCCACAGAAGACAGUCCUCCUCUCCUCGAUAGCCUCCUCUUGGUGAGGAAUCACACGUGUAUCCUUCCACAGAAGACAGUCCUCCUCUCCUCGAUAGCCUCCUCUUGGUGAGGAAUCACACAUGUAUCCUUCCACAGAAGACAGUCCUCCUCUCCUCGAUAGCCUCCUCUUGGCGAGGAAUCACACGUGUAUCCUUCCACAGAAGACAGUCCUCCUCUCCUCGAUAGCCUCCUCUUGGUGAGGAAUCACACGUGUAUCCUUCCACAGAAGACAGUCCUCCUCUCCUCGAUAGCCUCCUCUUGGUGAGGAAUCACACGUGUAUCCUUCCACAGAAGACAGUCCUCCCCUCCUCGAUAGCCUCCUCUUGGUGAGGAAUCACACGUGUAUCCUUCCACAGAAGACAGUCCUCCCCUCCUCGAUAGCCUCCUCUUGGCGAGGAAUCACACGUGUAUCCUUCCACAGAAGACAGUCCUCCCCUCCUCGAUAGCCUCCUCUUGGCGAGGAAUCACACGUGUAUCCUUCCACAGAAGACAGUCCUCCCUCCUCGAUAGCCUCCUUUUGACGAGGAAUCACACAUGUAUCCUUCCACAGAAGACAGUCCUCCCCUCCUCGAUAGCCUCCUCUUGGCGAGGAAUCACACGUGUAUCCUUCCACAGAAGACAGUCCUCCCCUCCUCGAUAGCCUCCUCUUGGCGAGGAAUCACACGUGUAUCCUUCCACAGAAGACAGUCCUCCCCUCCUCGAUAGCCUCCUCUUGGCGAGGAAUCACACGUGUAUCCUUCCACAGAAGACAGUCCUCCUCUCCUCGAUAGCCUCCUCUUGGCGAGGAAUCACACAUGUAUCCUUCCACAGAAGACAGUCCUCCUCUCCUCGAUAGCCUCCUUUUGACGAGGAAUCACACGUGUAUCCUUCCACAGAAGACAGUCCUCCCCUCCUCGAUAGCCUCCUUUUGACGAGGAAUCACACGUGUAUCCUUCCACAGAAGACAGUCCUCCUCUCCUCGAUAGCCUCCUCUUGGCGAGGAAUCACACGUGUAUCCUUCCACAGAAGACAGUCCUCCUCUCCUCGAUAGCCUCCUUUUGGCGAGGAAUCACACAUGUAUCCUUCCACAGAAGACAGUCCUCCCCUCGAUAGCCUCCUCUUGGCGAGGAAUCACACAUGUAUCCUUCCACAGAAGACAGUCCUCCCCUCCUCGAUAGCCUCCUUUUGACGAGGAAUCACACGUGUAUCCUUCCACAGAAGACAGUCCUCCCCUCCUCGAUAGCCUCCUUUUGACGAGGAAUCACACGUGUAUCCUUCCACAGAAGACAGUCCUCCCUCCUCGAUAGCCUCCUCUUGACGAGGAAUCACACAUGUAUCCUUCCACAGAAGACAGUCCUCCUCUCCUCGAUAGCCUCCUUUUGACGAGGAAUCACACGUGUAUCCUUCCACAGAAGACAGUCCUCCCCUCCUCGAUAGCCUCCUUUUGACGAGGAAUCACACGUGUAUCCUUCCACAGAAGACAGUCCUCCCCUCCUCGAUAGCCUCCUUUUGACGAGGAAUCACACAUGUAUCCUUCCACAGAAGACAGUCCUCCUCUCCUCGAUAGCCUCCUUUUGGUGAGGAAUCACACGUGUAUCCUUCCACAGAAGACAGUCCUCCUCUCCUCGAUAGCCUCCUUUUGGCGAGGAAUCACACGUGUAUCCUUCCACAGAAGACAGUCCUCCCCUCCUCGUAGCCUCCUCUUGGUGAGGAAUCACACGUGUAUCCUUCCACAGAAGACAGUCCUCCCCUCCUCGAUAGCUUCCUCUUGGUGAGGAAUCACACGUGUAUCAGUAUAUUAUAUUCACGUUUCAUAUUGUCACACAGUCACUCCUCACAGUUAUAGCACCACGGGUGCUUCCCAAACUGCACCCUAUUCCCUAUGUAGUACAGUACUUUGAGUACGCCCCCUCUAGACCCUGGUAGUGCAUAAUAUAGGGAAUCGUUUUCCAUUUAGAACACAGCAUAGGGUUCCAUUUAGAACACAGAAUAGGGUUCCAUUUAGAACACAGCAUAGGGUUCCAUUUAGAACACAGAAUAGGGUUCCAUUUAGAACAGCAUAGGGUUCCAUUUAGAACACAGCAUAGGGUUCCAUUUAGAACACAGAAUAGGGUUCCAUUUAGAACACAGCAUAGGGUUCCAUUUAGAACACAGAAUAGGGUUCCAUUUAGAACACAGCAUAGGGUUCCAUUUAGAACACAGCAUAGGUUCCAUUUAGAACACAGCAUAGGGUUCCAUUUAGAACACAGCAUAGGUUCCAUUUAGAACACAGCAUAGGUUCCAUUUAGAACACAGCAUAGGGUUCCAUUUAGAACACAGCAUAGGUUUCCAUUUAGAACACAGCAUAGGUUUCCAUUUAGAACACAGCAUAGGGUUCCAUUUAGAACACAGCAUAGGUUUCCAUUUAGAACACAGCAUAGGGUUCCAUUUAGAACACAUCACAGGGUUCCAUUUAGAACACAGCAUAGGGUUCCAUUUAGAACACAGCAUAGGGUUCCAUUUAGAACACAGCAUAGGUUCCAUUUAGAACACAACCUGAGACAGACACAAAAGCUUUAUAACAGUUAGACCAGUAAUAACAACAGGCUUGAGAACAGUUAUAGCAUGUUAUAAACAACAGGCUUGAGAACAGUUAUAGCAUGUUAUAAACAACAGGCUUGAGAACAGUUAUAGCAUGUUAUAAACAACAGGCUUGAGAACAGUUAUAGCAUGUUAUAAACAACAGGCUUGAGAACAGUUAUAGCAUGUUAUAAACAACAGGCUUGAGAACAGUUAUAGCAUGUUAUAAACAACAGGCUUGAGAACAGUUAUAGCAUGUUAUAAACAACAGGCUUGAGAACAGUUAUAGCAUGUUAUAAACAACAGGCUUGAGAACAGUUAUAGCAUGUUAUAAACAACAGGCUUGAGAACAGUUAUAGCAUGUUAUAAACAACAGGCUUGAGAACAGUUAUAGCAUGUUAUAAACAACAGGCUUGAGAACAGUUAUAGCAUGUUAUAAACAACAGGCUUGAGAACAGUUAUAGCAUGUUAUAAACAACAGGCUUGAGAACAGUUAUAGCAUGUUAUAAACAACAGGCUUGAGAACAGUUAUAGCAUGUUAUAAACAACAGGCUUGAGAACAGUUAUAGCAUGUUAUAAACAACAGGCUUGAGAACAGUUAUAGCAUGUUAUAAACAACAGGCUUGAGAACAGUUAUAGCAUGUUAUAAACAACAGGCUUGAGAACAGUUAUAGCAUGUUAUAAACAACAGGCUUGAGAACAGUUAUAGCAUGUUAUAAACAACAGGCUUGAGAACAGUUAUAGCAUGUUAUAAACAACAGGCUUGAGAACAGUUAUUGCAUGUUAUAAACAACAGGCUUGAGAACAGUUAUAGCAUGUUAUAAACAACAGGCUUGAGAACAGUUAUAGCAUGUUAUAAACAACAGGCUUGAGAACAGUUAUAGCAUGUUAUAAACAACAGGCUUGAGAACAGUUAUAGCAUGUUAUAAACAACAGGCUUGAGAACAGUUAUAGCAUGUUAUAAACAACAGGCUUGAGAACAGUUAUAGCAUGUUAUAAACAACAGGCUUGAGAACAGUUAUAGCAUGUUAUAAACAACAGGCUUGAGAACAGUUAUAGCAUGUUAUAAACAACAGGCUUGAGAACAGUUAUAACAUGUUAUAAACAACAGGCUUGAGAACAGUUAUAGCAUGUUAUAAACAACAGGCUUGAGAACAGUUAUAGCAUGUUAUAAACAACAGGCUUGAGAACAGUUAUAGCAUGUUAUAAACAACAGGCUUGAGAACAGUUAUAGCAUGUUAUAAACAACAGGCUUGAGAACAGUUAUAGCAUGUUAUAAACAACAGGCUUGAGAACAGUUAUAACAUGUUAUAAACAACAGGCUUGAGAACAGUUAUAGCAUGUUAUAAACAACAGGCUUGAGAACAGUUAUAGCAUGUUAUAAACAACAGGCUUGAGAACAGUUAUAGCAUGUUAUAAACAACAGGCUUGAGAACAGUUAUAGCAUGUUGAGUCUCCAUGUGUCGCCUUCCGUUUGCUCCUCCCUGGUUUAUCACCAUAUCAAUUUAACCUGUAUGAAUAAACUGCUUAUUAAAACAG